AUAUAGGGCCUUACGGUCACUGUAAUUGGAAUGAGUACAAUUUAAACCACUUAACGAGUAACAAUUGGAGGGCAAGUCUGGUGCCAGCAGCCGCGGUAAUUCCAGCUCCAAUAGCGUAUAUUAAAGUUGUUGCAGUUAAAAAGCUCGUAGUUGAAUUUCGGAGGAGAGCCCUCGGUCUAGGUCCGCCUAGUACUGGGUCGCUCGAAUCUUUCUUCUGGGGAAGCAGGGUGUCCUUCACUGGAUGCCCUGGGAAACCAGGACGAUUACCUUGAGAAAAAUAGAGUGUUCAAAGCAGGCUUCCGCUUGAAUACGUUAGCAUGGAAUAAUAAAAUAGGACUUUGGUUCUAUUUUGUUGGUUUUAAGGACCAAUGUCAUGAUGAAUAGGGACAGUUGGGGGCAUUAGUAUUUCGAAGCUAGAGGUGAAAUUCUUGGAUUUUCGAAAGACUAACUACUGCGAAAGCAUUUGCCAAGGAUGUUUUCAUUAAUCAAGAACGAAAGUUAGGGGAUCGAAGACGAUUAGAUACCGUCGUAGUCUUAACCAUAAACGAUGCCGACUAGGGAUCGGUGAACGUCAUCUUGACUUCAUCGGCACCUUACGAGGAAUCAAAGUCUUUGGGUUCUGGGGGGAGUAUAGUCGCAAGGCCGAAACUUAAAGGAAUUGACGGAAGGGCACCACCAGGAGUGGAGCCUGCGGCUUAAUUUGACCAACACGGGAAAACUCACCAGGUCCAGACAUAGUAAGGAUUGACAGAUUGAGAGCUCUUUCAUGAUUCUAUGGGUGGUGGUGCAUGGCCGUUCUUAGUUGGUGGAGUGAUUUGUCUGGUUAAUUCCGAUAACGAACGAGACCUUAACCUGCUAAAUAGUUUGACGAACUUUCGGGUUCGGACACACUUCUUAGAGGGACUAUCUGUGACUAACAGAUGGAAGUUUGAGGCAAUAACAGGUCUGUGAUGCCCUUAGAUGUUCUGGGCCGCACGCGUGCUACACUGAUAGAGACAGCGAGUAUUCACCUUGACCGGAAGGUCUGGGUAAUCUUUUGAAACUCUAUCGUGAUGGGGAUUGACCUUUGCAAUUAUUGGUCAUGAACGAGGAAUUCCUAGUAAGCGCGAGUCGUCAGCUCGCGUUGAUUACGUCCCUGCCCUUUGUACACACCGCCCGCCGAUACUACCGAUUGAAUGGCUUAGUGAGACCUUUGGAUGUGUCUUCAUCGCCGCAAGGCAUUGUCGACACAGAAAUUGUUCAAACUUGGUCAUUUAGAGGAAGUAAAAGUCGU
rnacentral:rRNA from 1 species